rnacentral:rRNA from 1 species
CUUACAAUAAAAAGAGCCUCAGGGCACCUUUAUAUUGUUAUAAAAAUAAAUAAAGGGUAAGAAAAUUUUAUAGUUGUACCUUUUGUAUCAGGGGAAUUUAAAGUUAUCUUAAGUAGUUAAUCGAAUUUAUCGGAUCUUCUGUGUUUGGGUUAAGAGUAAAAUUUUAAAUUAUAAAUAAUUAAGAGGUGAAAAGUGACCGACGGUAGUGUUAUCUAAUUGUUUUAGUACACCUAAGGGAUUAGCCUUUGAAAUACUAUUAAAUAUAAUGUAAAAAAAGCUAGGCUUUAGAUUAGCUAAGUUGUUAAGUUGUUUUAAGUAAUUUUUAGUAAAAGUAAUGAAAUAGAGUUAAGCAGACAAUGUAAAGGUUUAAUAAUUUUUAAUAAUAAUGAAUUUAUUUAAUUAAUAGUGAAGCUAAUAAAUAACUCGCAGGAUGUUAGAAAGUUUAACAAAAACAUUUCUGUUUUUAAAAAUAAAAGUAAGGCCUGCCCGGCGCAUAGUAAACGGCUGCAGUAUUUUGACUGUGCUAAGGUAGCAUAAUCAUUUGUUUCUUAAUUGGUAGCUGGAAUGAAAGGUUAAACUAGCUUUUUUGGUUUGGUGUGCUAAAAAAGAAAUUAAAGUCAAGGUAAUAAUUCUUUGAUGUUCUAGGGGACGAUAAGACCCUAGAAGCUUUAUAAAGUGAGUAUUUAUUAGUAAUAAAGUUUAGUUUAGUUUACUGGGGCGGUAUUAAUGUGAGAACCAUUAUAGUUUUGAGGGAUCCUUUAGAUAAAGAUAAAGCGGGAAAGUUACUCUAGGGGUAACAGUGUGAUAUAUUUGGAGAGAUCUUAUCGAUGAAUAUGAUUACAACCUCGAUGUU